rnacentral:rRNA from 1 species
AGCUAAUACCGGAUAAUAUAUUGAACCGCAUGGUUCAAUAGUGAAAGACGGUUUUGCUGUCACUUAUAGAUGGAUCCGCGCCGCAUUAGCUAGUUGGUAAGGUAACGGCUUACCAAGGCAACGAUGCGUAGCCGACCUGAGAGGGUGAUCGGCCACACUGGAACUGAGACACGGUCCAGACUCCUACGGGAGGCAGCAGUAGGGAAUCUUCCGCAAUGGGCGAAAGCCUGACGGAGCAACGCCGCGUGAGUGAUGAAGGUCUUCGGAUCGUAAAACUCUGUUAUUAGGGAAGAACAAAUGUGUAAGUAACUAUGCACGUCUUGACGGUACCUAAUCAGAAAGCCACGGCUAACUACGUGCCAGCAGCCGCGGUAAUACGUAGGUGGCAAGCGUUAUCCGGAAUUAUUGGGCGUAAAGCGCGCGUAGGCGGUUUUUUAAGUCUGAUGUGAAAGCCCACGGCU